GAACGGCCAUCGCCAGCCUUAACGGUUGAGUGAAUUACGCAUGGAGGGAAGUUUUCCACAUAGAUGUGGUGGAAUUCACCCAGAAUAUUGUUGGGAGAGAGGUGGAGAAUACAGAUAACUCAUGAAAUGCCCUUCCCUCAAUUUUCUUUUCUGGGAAAAGCAAGCAGCGCCCCUUCCCUGUGUCUGUCCCUGUCCGGCCUCUGCAUGGACACGUGCCUGUGCUCCGCGUGGUCACCACCAAGUGCACGCACCGUGGCUUCCGGCACGUGGCCGGGGGAAGAGGGAGGGAAAGGUGAGGCAGGAGGAGAGGACGAGGAAGAAGAAAGGACUCGGGAAAUCCAGCCCGAAGGAAACGAACGCAAUUCCCUGAAACGUGCCCUUCAGUCUUGCCACGAUCCUUCUCCACUCCGGAUGGUCCCCACGUUACUAAACUACACCACACAUAAAGUAGAACUGGAAGAAAAUCCUCUUCUAUUCAAGACACCUUGCCUCUCCUCUAAUGGCUUCUGCUACUGCUGCUAUUGGCACGAUGGUGGAGGGCAGUCAGGGCCACGUCAUGCUGGGUGCCCCUGCCUCCAUCACCUCCUCCACUGA
rnacentral:lncRNA from 1 species